GCAAUCACGGAUUUACUUACUAGUUACUCAUCAACUCAUGACCCAUGGGAGGACCAAAAAUACGAAGUGGAAGAGACUUGUAGUAUAGUUUAAACCACAGACAAGGGAAACAAAGCACAACCUACCUUAGUGUACAAUUUACCUUCUACCUUUACACACAUUACAAUCGGAGACUGUGGCAGAGAAAAAGAUAUAUACAUCUGAAUGCUGGAUCUUGUCACUACUUGGAUUUAAAAUAGAUCUUCUUUGCGUGACAAUGUUUAUAAAUGAAAUACCAAGAACUGGGGAGGGAUUCUAGUAUCUCAAGGAAGAACGAACUCAGACACGCAGAGGGUCAACUCUGGCAAAAGGCAAUAGGAAUGUUCCAAGUAUAACAGAGUUAUAAUCGGAGACUGUGGCAGAGAAAUUGAUGAUUGCAUCCGAAUGCCAGAUCUUGUCACUACUUGGAUUUAUAAAAGAUCUUUUUUGUGUGACAAUGUUUCAAAAUGGAAAUACCAAGAACUGGAGUGGGAUUCUAGUAUCCCAAUCCCAAUGAAGAAGAACGACCUGAGACAUGGAGAGGGCCAACUCCGGUGAAAGGCAAUAGGACUGUUUCAAGUAUAACAGAGAUCUUCUUUGUGUGACAAUAUUUAUAAAGGAAAUACCAAGAACUGGAGUGGGAUUCUAGUAUCCCAAUGAAGAAGAACGACCUGAGACAUGGAGAGGGUCAACUCUGGUGAAAGACAAUAGGACUGUUUCAAGUAUAACAGAGGUAUCACUCAGCCCUGAACAGGGAUAUAAUAAGUCAAACUCCUGCUCAUAAGGGACAACCUUUGGAAUUUACCCAGUGUGUUCUCUUGCAGCAUUUGAAGUUUGAAGAUCCAUGAAAUGACUCACUCAGUUAAGUCAUUUAAAUGUGGUACUUGUGGUAAAGUUUUUUCUCGUAAAUAUAACCUGAUUCGCCACGAAGAACAGAUACAUAAAUUUGAGGAUCAUUUAAAUUUGCUUAAAUGUGCUAUUUGUGGUAAAGAGUUUUCUUGUAGUGAUAGCCUGAAACUCCACAAUGAGUGGCAUAGGGAAGAGAACAACCGAUCUGAACGAUACGAGUGUGGUACUUGUGGUAAAGAUUUUUCUCGUAAAUAUAACCUGAUACGCCACAAAGAACACACACAUCAAUUCCAGGAUCAUUCGAUGACGCUUAAAUGUGCUAUUUGCGGUAAAGAGUUUUCUUGUAGUGAUAACCUGAAACGCCACGAAGAGUGGCAUAGGGAAGAGAACAACAGCUCUGAACGAUACGAGUGUGGCACUUGUGGUAAAGAUUUUUCUCAUAAGAGUACACUGAAACGCCACCAAGCAGUGCAUUGUGUUGAUAAAAACAGUUCUGAAAAAUAUGAGUGUGGUACUUGUGGGAAAAAUUUUACUCGUAAAAAUGAUCUAAAACGCCAUGAAGAGGUGGCACAUACAGUCCAAGUGCAAAGAUAUGAAUGUGCGGAAUGCUGUAAAUCAUUUGCACAUAAGAACACCUUGAGUAGACACAUAAGUGUAAUCCAUUUGGGUUCUCAUACAGUCCAAGUGCAAAGAUAUGAAUGUGCGGAAUGCUGUAAAUCAUUUGCACAUAGGAACACCUUGAGUAGACACAUAAGUGUAAUCCAUUUGGGUUCUAAACCUCGUCACAAGUGUCCUAAAUGUAAAAAACGUUUUCAUCGUCUUUCUAGUUUGAAACAACAUGCAAAAAUGGUAUGCUUCACCUUACUAUAAAACCAUAUAGAUAAUAGUGUUAUACCAUAAGGAUAUUUUUAAAUUGCCGGAUUAGAUCAUUUGUCUUGCUGAAUUUAAUUGCUUUUUUUAAUUAACUGAGAUUUAUUGGGCAGUGAAACGCUGCAAUUCAUUACAACUUUAGAUUUACAUCUAUAGUUAGUUUAAAUAGACACAAGGAAAUAUGUUUGAAUCAUCUUAACUUAAUACUUGGGCCGCAUACUUGCAAUCAUGAUCCUGCAGCACAUGCGCAUGUCAUGUCUGCUUCCUAUCCCAACCAACCUGUGAUCAGGUACAGUCGGGGGACGGUGAUAUUUCUUGCAUUUGGAGAAAUUUUUUCUCAGCUUGCAUUGUACAAUCUAUUGUAUGCUAGCGCGAUAUGUCUUUUCAGCCAGACCUUUAUUCUGACGUAUGUCUAGGGGGCAACAAACGUGUUUUUUUAUUCUAUUGUAGUUCGUUUUAAGUUAGUAAUGUUUGCAUUUAUUAGUAAACCGUAGCAUUAAGAAUGAUUUAUGAGGCAAGAAUACUUUAAGAGAAUUAUGUAGGAUUCUAAAUCUACUUGAAAAACCAGUUACACACAUACAGUGGCGUAAAACACACCCAUGCAUCUCCCGCAGUUUGGGGGUGGGCGACAAGGUCCAGGAGGUGCUGAGGCCCAAGUGUCACCGUUCACCGCAAUCACAAAAAAAGGUGACGUUAGUUUCUGUGACCGCGGGAGACAAAGAUGAUGUCUUCAAGACCAAAGAUAAUAUUCAUGAUUUUGCCGUGAUCACGGAAAAAGAUGACAUUUCCGUGACCGCGGGAGACUAAGAUGAUGUCUACGCAAGACCGAAGAAGGUAUUCAUGAUUUUGACGCAGAAGACAAAGAUAUUUAUGAUUAUGCCGUAAUCGCGGAAAAAGUUUACGUCGUUUCUGUGACCGCAGGAGACAAAUAAGAUAAUAAUAAUAUCUAUGGUUCUUACCGUCAACGCAAUCAGGGGUAAUAUUCCACUACGGCCGUUUCGGAGAUGACUCCAUCGUCAGGUGCGUAGUGGUACACUAAACUAUAGUCUUGUCACAUUUAACACGAACCACGGAACGGCCGUAGUGGAAUAUUACCCCUAAUUGCGUUGAUGGUAAGAACCAUAGAUAUUAUUAUUAUAUUUUCACGCAAUCUGCCACACUCAAGAAUACAAAUAAGAUGUCCUCAAGACCAAAGAAGAUAUUCAUGAUUUUUACGCAAUCACAGAAAAAAGUUGACCUCAAUUCCGUGAUUGCCGGAGAGAAAGAUGAUGAAUAAAUUCACAUGUUUGCCGCAAUCGUGCAAAAAGAUUAUGUGAUUUCCGUGACCCCGAGAGACGAAGAUUAUGAAGACUACAAGACCAAAGAACAUAUUAAUUAUUUUUCCGCAGCUGCGGAAAACGAUGAGGAGUUUUAAUCACCGCUGGAGACGAUUAUUUCAUGAACGCAGUAGAUAUUCAAGAUUUGGCCGCAAUCACGUAAAACUAUGACAAUGGUUCCAUGACUAUGAAGGCGAUGAAAAAUUUACACAAGAGUUGUUGGAUUUUACCAUGAUCACUGCUAAGGCUGAG